rnacentral:rRNA from 1 species
UACGUAGGUGGCGAGCGUUGUCCGGAUUUACUGGGCGUAAAGGGAGCGUAGGCGGACUUUUAAGUGAGAUGUGAAAUACUCGGGCUCAACUUGAGUGCUGCAUUUCAAACUGGAAGUCUAGAGUGCAGGAGAGGAGAAUGGAAUUCCUAAUGUAGCGGUGAAAUGCGUAGAGAUUAGGAAGAACACCAGUGGCGAAGGCGAUUCUCUGGACUGUAACUGACGCUGAGGCUCGAAAGCGUGGGGAGCAAACAGG